GAGAACUGGUUUCAACGAGACUUGUUUUUUAAUGUUUCAGUAGUCUGAGUCAGAGGAGCGAUAAACAAGGACAAAGAGGAAUACCACACUAACAAGACAAUAAUUUUCGAUACCAUUUUCAGACAAACGCUGACACCUGGGCGAUCUACACAGACGUGUCCUCCGGUAACACAAAUUCACAGCCUGGAGUUAUGAGGGGAGCCAGUCAUCGGUCCUGAGGAAUUGUGGGAUUAUGUAGUAAAUGCAGAGUGUUGAGCUGCGAGCUUUUGGCUUAGUCCACGGAGGCAUACGCGAGAAACCGUAUUACCCGUGGGGAGAAAACAGGGAGGUCUUACCGUGUGCAGCAGCGAAGGAGCUGUUAUCUUCGCUUCACAGGCCUGUUGCAUCGUGCCCCUCACUCAGAUCAGCGCUGCUGGGAGGGCGACAAACAGUCGCUCAAGCAGAGGCAGAGUGCAGGAGCGGCGACACUUCAGCGGCGCGUUUCAAGAUGUCAUCUGGUAACCACUGUCAAAAAGAGGCACAAAUCUGCACUGCAAUGUGGAAGAAAAGUUUUAACUUUGGAGGAAAACUUGUACUUGAAAAAGUUUGCAGUGAGAAAAAUUUCACCAAUUAAGAAAACGAAUUCCAAUCUUAAAAAAAACCCCGCUUUUUUGCAGCCAUCUCAUUUUUAAAAUGAUUAUUGAUUUAUGUAAAGGUAAAAAAAAAAAAAAAAAAAAGAAGGGAAAAAGAAAAAAACGCAGUCCAUACCUGAAAUGUCCCUCAGUCCUCGACGCGCUUCUGUCCUAAUUGUCAUUCAGUUUAAUUUGCGUAAUUUGGGCGUUUGUCGCUCUGGAGUUGUGCGUCCUAGAAAGGCAUGCGCGUCACCGCUCAGGGAUUUUUUGGCACAGAGGAAUUGCUGCGGGACCUUUUUCUCCGAUGAUGAGCGUGCCAUAACUUUGCUUCUAUGAGCGAGUCCCUCCGAGCUGCAUCUCACAUUUCAGCCCCAACAUCGCAGGCUGGCAGUGCUGAGGAGCCGCAGAGAGCAAAGCCUUCGCUGAGGAGUGCCACGUGACUGAGACGUAGCAAUGAACCUCAUCUGUGGGCUCAGAGGGAGGGGAAAAAAGCUCUGCGGUCAGGACAUCUGACACACCGCAGACUUUACCCAGGUCCCGGUUAGAAGCAGUGCGCCACCACGACGCGCCACCUCAAUUUUCGCAGCAUUUCUGACAAUCCUGCAAAAAUUCCUCUGAUUAUCCAGAGAUGAGUGAACCAGCAUCCACCUGGUCCACUCUACGCUUAAAUCUUUCAUGUUCCUACAGUCUGUAUAUGUGUGAGAUGACCUCUUCACAGCAGCUAAAAUCAAUGAUUGCCCCUCAUUUCUGGCAUGACUUUCAUCCAGCUGCCAAAGAGAGUUAAUUGGUUAACCACUAGACACUGAGCAAAGGAGAAAAUAAUGAAUACUUAAUGCAGAAGAAGGCACAAAGUCAAGUUAAAGUUUAUUAAAGGUUGUUAUUGUCCGCAUGACUGCCUCAGAUUUAAGGAUAUGGAACAAAAAGAGACAUGCACACAUUAAUGUGCCCACUUUGUACAUGCCAUCAAUAAAAUAGCACUACUGACAGAUUGGUGACACACAAAUCUUAUAGAAAAGAAAGGACUCACACUACAAGCAUCAGAAAGUUAGCAGUCCUGGUCUGGUUUAAAUACGGGAACUGAAUAUACAGAAAACACAGCAGGCACAUGUAGACACUCCAAAUUUCUCUUGCAAAGUGAAGAUCUUCCUCAGAGUUCGACUGUUCGACGUGUGUUUACAUUUCUUUAUCAUGAAACUCCUCUGUGAGGUGUGCUUUCUUCAAGAUGCGAUCUUGUGAACUGCUACUGUGAUGGUCCCAUGAGUCCUCACUAGAAUGUUCCUACAGAACAAAGGAACAACAAAACAACAUAUUAGUCAAUGCUGAUAUAAACUGAGAAGUAGGUUGCUUUGGUGUUAUCUCUGGAUGGCAUGUUUGAUAAUUACAUAAACCUCUCUGUCAUUCACAUUCAGUUUUAUGCACAUGAUGCAGUUGGACUAGUUAGUGCAUGACUGAUCAAUGUUACAGUAUUAAGUAUUACUAUUGUUGGCGAUGUUCUGAUUCAAACAAUUAUUUUUCAUCAUUAUUAUGACGCUGGUUAUACUGUGCUUUUUCAACCUGCAACAAAUAAAAGUUGUUUUUUGCAAAAA